CAAGCCUACGUCCGAUUAGCUAGUUGGUAGGGUAAAAGCCUACCAAGGCGACGAUCGGUAGCUGGUCUGAGAGGAUGAUCAGCCACACUGGGACUGAGACACGGCCCAGACUCCUACGGGAGGCAGCAGUGGGGAAUAUUGGACAAUGGGCGCAAGCCUGAUCCAGCAAUGCCGCGUGGGUGAAGAAGGCCUUCGGGUUGUAAAGCCCUUUAAGCGGGGAGGAAAGCCGGGGUGUGAAUAAUACCUCGGGGUGACGUUACCCGCAGAAUAAGCACCGGCUAACUCCGUGCCAGCAGCCGCGGUAAUACGGGGGGUGCGAGCGUUAAUCGGAAUGACUGGGCGUAAAGCGUGCGUAGGCGGUGUAAUCAGUCAGCCGUGAAAGCCCCGGGCUUAACCUGGGAAUGGCGGUUGAGACGGUUAGACUAGAGUGGGCUAGAGGACUGUGGAACUCCCGGUGUAGCGGUGAAAUGCGUAGAGAUCGGGAAGAACACCGAUGGCGAAGGCAGCAGU
rnacentral:rRNA from 1 species